rnacentral:lncRNA from 1 species
AGUACAUCCAUAGGUAGGUUCCUAACCAAUUGUUUCUUCAAAUAAUUUCUAGCAAUCAGAUUUUGCCCCAGAUAUCUCUUCAACAGACAUGUGGCGCCUCCACUUAAAAAUUUGGUUAGAUCCAACUAAUAAUAUAACUACAUCAAGUGCAUCCAGCAAACAAAUAUCCAGGCCCGAGUGUGGUUCGACCAACCUGAUCAUUGAUCUGAAGGAGAUAGCA